rnacentral:tRNA from 1 species
UAGCACUUCGUUUACAACGAAAAGUUUCUUGAUAGACCGAGAUGGACUGA